rnacentral:lncRNA from 1 species
GACUGGGGAAUAUGUUGAAGCUCAUACAAAGAAAACGAACUGGAGGUCAAUUUCAAGUAAUAAGGCAACAUUGGGGAUAUGUCGUCUCUCUUGACUUGAAUACAUUAGGACCCCACAGGUCUUGAAUCAUUCCAGGAGUCAACAUACUCAUCGUGGUGGAGACCGGGGAGUAGGGAUCCCCCGGGAGAGUGUACUGAGGGACAGGACAACAAGAACAAGAACAGAAACCAAAGUUUGCGAAAUGAAGGAGCAGCCAGAGAAAGAAGAGCCCAUGAAGCUGACAGAAAAGGGCAGCUUGGAAUGAAGACAGUAGUGAAAAAGGGCAUCACAGAGACCACGUGAGUCGAGUUUUA